rnacentral:rRNA from 1 species
AUACGUAGGGUGCGAGCGUUGUCCGGAAUUACUGGGCGUAAAGAGCUCGUAGGUGGUUUGUCGCGUCGUCUGUGAAAUUCCGGGGCUUAACUCCGGGCGUGCAGGCGAUACGGGCAUAACUUGAGUACUGUAGGGGAGACUGGAAUUCCUGGUGUAGCGGUGAAAUGCGCAGAUAUCAGGAGGAACACCGGGGGCGAAGGCGUGUCUCUGGGCAGUAACUGACGCUGAGGAGCGAAAGCAUGGGUAGCGAACAGGAUUAGAUACCCUGGUAGUCCAUGCCGUAAACGGUGGGCGCUAGGUGUAGGGGUCUUCCACGACUUCUGUGCCGUAGCUAACGCAUUAAGCGCCCCGCCUGGGGAGUACGGCCGCAAGGCUAAAACUCAAAGGAAUUGACGGGG